CCAAAUCCGCCAAGCUCCUCUCUCGAUCCCCUCCCACUCGCUCUCCCCUCGCUCUCCUCGAUCCAGAUCGCUGUGCUCCUCCCUCCAUCCCCUCCGGCCAGAUCCCCACGCUCUGCUCCUCCCUGCCUCUCCCCCCUCUGGCAAGAUCCAGCGCGUGGCCUCCCUCUCCUCGAUCCAGAUCGGGGAACCCGGCCACCCCGCCCCCGUCUCCCUCCGUCUCCCACCCAUGGAAAGCUCCACCGCCGCCGCCCCCACCCAACGCCGCCACCUCCACCCAACGCCGACCUUGUCUCCACCACCCACACUCCUCCCUCGCCAUGGCCGCUCCCAAGGUCGACCACCACUUCAGCAACUUCCUCCUCGACCGCUUGGAUGGAUGAAUGGGGAACCCGGAACCGGCGCGCUGUCGUCCACCUGUUCCUCGAGGGAGGCCGGCUGGCCAUGGAGGCCCGAACCCAACUGACGCAUGGACGGACAGAUGGAUGGAUGGCCGGGGUGAAACCCUAGCCCCACACCCACCCAUCCCCAUUCCCAUCCCCAUGGAGCUCUUCUCUGUUCCUUGGCGAGGGCCCGAGCUUGCUGAUGUGGUGGCCCUUGACUCCAGCAAAGCCAAAGUUGGUUUGUGCAGGCCAUCACUGUCACCAUGGAACAAGUCAAGGAGGAGGCCAUCGCCAUGGAAGGAAGGUCAUGGUCAGAGUUGUGUGUGUGUGUGUUCCAGCCAUGGUCAGGUCCAGAUUUCGUGCUACUGUAUUUACGGAGUAGUUAAGGAUGUUUAGGUUGAUGGUCAGAUUAGCCCCUUUCAAAUUUCACAUAUUAAUCAAUGGAGCACUAGCAGCCAACCCUGAAUGUGUUCUUCCCAUAUUUCUACAACCAAUAGUACCAAACUGCAAUUACAAACAUGUCACUCCACUAGCUAGCUCGCAAGAUGCAUGCAUUGCAGCGUGAACAUGUAACUACAAGCUGCUGAUGCAUCGAUCCAUAGUUCUUCCAUUUUGUUGAGAACAAUGGGAAUUCACGUUAGUAGUAUUCAUUCGCAAAUCAUUGGGGUUGAGGGACUCAAGUUAAAUCAUGUUCAUGUCCCUAUGGUUUGGUAGGUUCACAGUCUAGCACUAGUAGCAACACCCAAGCAAUUAUUAUAGAGGGAGGGAGGUGGCAUCCCAAAUCAUACCUGUAUGAUAUGAUUGGGAGGGAAUAUACUGACUGCUACUGUUACACUUUCUAGUUGAUUUCUUUUAACAAUCAUACUUAGCUAAAAUCUUCUUGUCCACAACAGAGCAGCCUCAUCCUCUUCAUGCUGGCUCGACUGCCUCUGAUUCUUCCUAUUUGCUGCCUUGCCUUGCAGAUGCAGUAGCUCAAGGGCGAGGUCGGCGUCUUAUCCAGGGCCGACGGGAAGACGCUGUUUGAGAUGGGAACACCAGGGUCAUCGCCGCCGUCUAUGGCCCCUGAGAGUAUGCAUACCCGGGUCAAGCUUGCGGUCAUGGUGAAGGUGCUGAUCUGGGUUUCCUAUCUUCAUAAGUAAAAUGUUUGCUUGCUACCUUCUAUAGGGUAUUGCUUUCUAAUCAAGUUCUUGAACACAGGAGUUAUAUAUACAAAUCAUGUGCUAUUUAUACACUGAUAGCCAUUUUCUUGUCUACUUAGCCGAAUCAUGUCUUUGUGUACUAAACAUCAGUUACUAGUAUUUGGCUUCUAUGUGCUAAUUAAACCUGGUCAGCAUGCAUACUUCUUUGAUGUUGCAUAAUAUUGGUGUCAAAGGGGUUAUUUUAAACCAGAUAUGAUCUACUGGAACAUUUUUUUUUGCUAUUCAAACAUUUAAAUUCUGGUUCUUUGUUUCAAACAUCGAAAUGCUGUUUACUUUGUCCUUCUAUGCUUAAAUAAUAAAAAUGUCACAUUUAUAGGAUUGUAAACCUGAUGUGAUUGGAGUAGAACUUACUUGCUGCUGAUAGUUACUACUUGUAUCCACUGAUUUCUACGCCUCAUUUUGCUUGUUUUACUUUAUUUAUGCACACAAACUGCCUACAAGUUAAUGUGCUUUUAGAUUUGCCUUUAUUCUGCUCCUAACCAUAUUGUUUGAUAACUUGCAGAUGCUGUACUUCGUUCAUGUUUCGUCGUGGGCUCCAAGAAGUGAAGAAGCAUUGAGUUCUAGCUCAUUGGAGAUAGUUAUACUUUGAUAGAUAUUUGUAUUUUGAUAUUUAGUUGUGUUCUUGGUGGCUGUAAACCUGAUGUGAAGUAUGUCCGAUUAUAAACAUGGUGUGAACUAUGUUUAAUUGUAAUGUGCCAAAUUUGGUUUUUUUGAUCUAUUGAAGUAUUA